rnacentral:misc_RNA from 1 species
AACGCACAUUGCGCCCUCUGGUAUUCUGGAGGGCAUGCCUGUCCGAGCGUCAUAUUCAAACUCGAGUAAUGCUCGGUGCUGGGUCAGACACGUAAGAGUCGACCAGAAUUUAAGUGAGAGCCUAUGAGAGUAUCCGAGCAAUGUUAACAAGGCAAAUGCUUUGGGCCCUCCAGAAUGCUGUCAAGAAUCCUCAAAUAGUUGACCUCGGAUCAGGCAGGGAUACCCGCUGAACUUAA